CGCAUCCUACGGGGGGCAGCAGUGGGGGAUAUUGGACAAUGGGGGGAACCCUGAUCCAGCGACGCCGCGUGAGUGAAGAAGUAUUUCGGUAUGUAAGGCUCUGUCAGCAGGGAAGAAAGCAAUGACGGUACCUGACCAAGAAGCCCCGGCUAACUACGUGCCAGCAGCCGCGGUAAUACGUAGGGGGCAAGCGUUAUCCGGAUUUACUGGGUGUAAAGGGAGCGUAGACGGCGAAGAAAGUCUGAAGUGAAAGCCCGCGGCUCAACCGCGGAACUGCUUUGGAAACUUUUUUGCUGGAGUACCGG
rnacentral:rRNA from 1 species